AUUGGGGUAAAAAUGACACCUUCUUUUUGAAGAGGUAACACUUGUGUGUGUGUGUGUGUGUUGGUUAGAGACAAGGAAGGAAGCAAAACCAACCCUACUCAUCUUGUCUAGGGUUUUAGCAAAGCAAAGCGUCCCCAUCUUGGAGACUUGGAGUUGGGCCUCCUCACCCACACCCGUCUCGCCGGAAUCCAUCCAUGCCGCGCCGGCGAUUCUAGCCAGCUAGGGUUUCUCCUCCUCCUUCGCCCGCAGUCGGAUGAAUGGACUCCACCGACUCCUCCUCCCUGGCGGCCUCCUCGGGCGCCGCCUCCCCCUACUACGUCCACCNNNNNNN
rnacentral:lncRNA from 1 species